UUAUGCCACUGUGCAUUAUGGCUUUUUAUUCCUAUGUGAUGAUAAAAAAAAUGUUCGUGUAGGAAUCGAAGCCAUGUUACACGUGGUGAGAG
rnacentral:pre_miRNA from 1 species